UGGUGCUUGCUAGUGCAGCUAAAAUGUUUGUGUGAGAGCACAUACAGUAGGCUACGCAUCCCAGAAAACAUUUGUGCAGAUUGACAAAUUGAACGCCCAGCCUUCUGCUCUUAUCCAACCCAUUUUAAGCCCCGCCCAGGUGUCGUCAAGUUUCACUGCUGCUUUGACGGACAGGUGAUGUCCGCACACUGUUGGUGAGCAAGCUAUUCACCAUGCCUUGUAUGAUCGUUGGCAGAACUCAUAAUGGGUAGAUACCAAAGUCUCUGAAUCCAAACA